UGGGCAACCUGCCCCUCUCUCUGGGAUAACCCCGGGGAAAACCGGAGCUAAUACCGGAUACUCCGGCUGGAUCGCAUGGUCCGGCCGGGAAAGGUCCGCCGGAGAGGGAUGGGCCCGCGGCCUAUCAGCUUGUUGGUGGGGUCAUGGCUCACCAAGGCGACGACGGGUAGCUGGUCUGAGAGGACACCAGCCACACUGGAACUGAGAUACGGUCCAGACUCCUACGGGAGCA
rnacentral:rRNA from 1 species